AUUUAUAUCAUAAAUAUA
rnacentral:tRNA from 1 species